CGGCGGACGGGUGAGUAACACGUGGGUAACCUACCUAUAAGACUGGGAUAACUUCGGGAAACCGGAGCUAAUACCGGAUAAUAUUUCGAACCGCAUGGUUCGAUAGUGAAAGAUGGUUUUGCUAUCACUUAUAGAUGGACCUGCGCCGUAUUAGCUAGUUGGUAAGGUAACUGCUUACCAAGGCGACGAUACGUAGCCGACCUGAGAGGGUGAUCGGCCACACUGGAACUUAGACACGGUCCNAGACUCCUACGGGAGGCAGCAGUA
rnacentral:rRNA from 1 species